rnacentral:rRNA from 1 species
AACGAACGCUGGCGGCAUGCCUAACACAUGCAAGUCGAACGAGACCUUCGGGUCUAGUGGCGCACGGGUGCGUAACGCGUGGGAACCUGCCCUUAGGUUCGGAAUAACUCCCCGAAAGGGGUGCUAAUACCGGAUAAUGUCUUCGGACCAAAGAUUUAUCGCCUUUGGAUGGGCCCGCGUUGGAUUAGCUAGUUGGUAGGGGAAAAGCAUACCAAGGCGACGAUCAAUAGCUGGUUAGAGAGGAUGAUCAGCCACACUGGGGCUGAGACACGGCCCAGACUCCUACGGGAGGCAGCAGUGGGGAAUAUUGGACAAUGGGCGAAAGCCUGAUCCAGCAAUGCCGCGUGAGUGAUGAAGGCCUUAGGGUUGUAAAGCUCUUUUACCCGGGAUGAUAAUGACAGUACCGGGAGAAUAAGCUCCGGCUAACUACGUG